GGCAGGGGGCAGCCCUCAUCGCAUGAACGCUGCCUCACAGAACAAGGGAACCUGGGAAGCGGAAGGGCUGGCGGAAGUGGAAGGAGAUUUCACGUCUUCACGUCUAGGUGAUGGUGUUCAACAGCAAAAUGGGCAGUCUGUGAAUCAGAGAGGUCCUAAGCAGGAGUUUUAAACUUUUAAAGCCCCAUACUUUAUACUACACAGGACGAACAGAUGUUGGACAUAGAUUUACAGGUUCUGGAAGCCCCUUUUGUGCUUGUCUCUACAAAGUAGAACCAAAACUACAGUGAACGUUGCUGCAGAUUACCAUCCAGCAGAAACCCCGCUCAUACAACAUUAUGGACUCAUCUAUUUUUUCAUUGCAUCUCACACUGACUUCCACAAAGUCAAGAUGACCAUGAAAGGUUCACUUACAGCGUGCAUCUGAUUGAAAACUAGCAUAUAAGGAAAAUCUGUUUGGAAUUCUAAGAAAUAUUGUUCUUAGAACAGCAUAAGAAAGA